GCCCAGCUAGCUCAGUCGAUUGAGCAUGAGACUCUUAAUCUCUGGGUCAUGGGCUCAUUCCCCACGUUGGGCG
rnacentral:tRNA from 1 species